rnacentral:rRNA from 1 species
GACCCGAAAGAUGGUGAACUAUGCCUGAAUAGGGUGAAGCCAGAGGAAACUCUGGUGGAAGCUCGUAGCGGUUCUGACGUGCAAAUCGAUCGUCAAAUUUGGGUAUAGGGGCGAAAGACUAAUCGAACCAUCUAGUAGCUGGUUCCCUCCGAAGUUUCCCUCAGGAUAGCUGGAGCCCGAUCAUGUGUUGUGUGUAGUUUUAUCAGGUAAAGCGAAUGAUGAGAGGUAUUGGGGUUGAAAUGACCUCAACCUAUUCUCAAACUUUAAAUGGGUAAGAGGCACAGCUUACUUGAGUGAAGUUGUGUUGUGUGUGUGAAUACAGGGGCUCUUAGUGGGCCAUUUUUGGUAAGCAGAACUGGCGAUGCGGGAUGAACCGAACGCUGGGUUAAGGUGCCCAAGUCAACGCUCAUGAGAUCCCAGGAAAGGUGUUGGUUGAUACAGACAGCAGGACGGUGGCCAUGGAAGUUGGAAUCCGCUAAGGAGUGUGUAACAACUCACCUGCCGAAUCAACUAGCCCUGAAAAUGGAUGGCGCUCAAGCGUUGCACCUAUCCCCGGCCGCCGUGUGGAGUAGGCCAGUGCUGGUGACACGGCGUGUAGGAGGGCGCGGGGCUGUGUGUGUGUAUGCUGUGCAGGCUGGUGCGUGAGCCCAGCUGAAGCCGGCCCUGGUGCAGAUCUUGGUGGUAGUAGCAAUUAUUCAAAUGAGAACUUUGAAGGCCGAAGUGGAGAAGGGUUCCACGUGAACAGCAUUUGGACGUGGGUGAGUCGGUCCUAAGAGAUUGGCGAAAGCCUGGUUAGUAAGGGUGCAGAUGUGCCGUCCUUCAGGGGGCAGGCAUGUCCGGGUUGUGCGUGUGGUUCUUCACGGGGCCAUGCGUGCUUUAGUGGCACCAGCUCUCGAAAGGGCAUCGGGUUAAUAUUCCCGAACCAGACACCUGAUGCUGCCCGUGGACUGGCCUCCCUGCAAGGGGGGGUUGGGCUGCGGGUGGAGCACGGCAACGUAUAUGUAUGUGUGUAUACUCGGCGACGCUUGCGAUAGCCCUGGGAAGAGUUGUCUUUUCUUCUUAACCGUACCAACCGUGUGCACAGCCCUGGAAGCAGUUUACCUUGAGAGAGGGCUGGAGGUCGGGUAAAGCGCUGCACUUAUUGCAGCGUCCAGUGCGCUGUCGAGAGUCCCUGAAAAGCUGAGUCAGGACUGGAUCAUGUUUAGUCUCGUGUCUGGCCGUACCCAUCACCGCAUCAGGUCUCCAAGG